rnacentral:rRNA from 1 species
UACGUAGGGUCCGAGCGUUUGUCCGGAAUUACUGGGCGUAAAGAGCUCGUAGGUGGUUUGUCGCGUUGUUCGUGAAAACUCACAGCUCAACUGUGGGCGUGCGGGCGAUACGGGCAGACUAGAGUACUGCAGGGGAGACUGGAAUUCCUGGUGUAGCGGUGGAAUGCGCAGAUAUCAGGAGGAACACCGGUGGCGAAGGCGGUUCUCUGGGCAUGUCCUGACGCUGAGGAGCGAAAGUGUGGGGAGCGAACAGG